AUUCCGGUUGAUCCUGCCGGAGGCCAUUGCUAUUGGAGUCCGAGUUAGCCAUGCUAGUCGCACGAGUUCAGACUCGUGGCGAACAGCUCAGUAACACGUGGCCAAUCUCCCCCACAGCGACGGAUACCCUCGGGAAACUGAGGUUAAUCCGUCAUACCCAUCUCACGCUGGAAUCGCCGAGAUGCUCAAAACGCUCUCCGGAGCGCUGUGGGAUGAGGCUGCGGUUGAUUAGGUAGACGGUGGGGUAACGGCCCACCGUGCCCAUAAUCAGUACAGGUUGUGAGAGCAAGAACCUGGAGACGGAAUCUGAGACAAGAUUCCGGGCCCUACGGGGCGCAGCAGGCGCGAAACCUUUACACUGCACGCC
rnacentral:rRNA from 1 species